UACGAAGGGGGCUAGCGUUGCUCGGAAUCACUGGGCGUAAAGCGCACGUAGGCGGCUUUCUAAGUCAGGGGUGAAAUCCUGGAGCUCAACUCCAGAACUGCCUUUGAUACUGGAGAGCUUGAGUCCGGGAGAGGUGAGUGGAACUCCGAGUGUAGAGGUGAAAUUCGUAGAUAUUCGGAAGAACACCAGUGGCGAAGGCGGCUCACUGGCUCAUUUCUGACGCUCAGGCGCGACAGCGUGGGGAUCAAACAGG
rnacentral:rRNA from 1 species